rnacentral:rRNA from 1 species
UUUACGGCUGCUCAGUAACACGUAGUCAACUUACCCUAUGGACGAGGAUAAUCUCGGGAAACUGAGCAUAAUACUCGAUAGAUCAUAAUGCCUGGAACGGUUUAUGGUUGAAAUGAUUCGUCGCCAUAGGAUAGGACCGCGGCCUAUCAGCUUGUUGGUGAGGUAAUGGCCCACCAAGGCGAUUACAGGUACGGGCUCUGAGAGGAGAAGCCCGGAGAUGGGUACUGAGACAAGGACCCAGGCCCUAUGGGGCGCAGCAGGCGAGAAAACUUUGCAAUGUGCGAAAGCACGACAAGGUUAAUCCGAGUGAUUUCUGCUAAAGAAAUCUUUUGCAAGUCAUAAAACCACUAGUGAAUAAGGGGUGGGCAAGUUCUGGUGUCAGCCGCCGCGGUAAAACCAGCACCUCAAGUGGUCAGGAGGAUUAUUGGGCCUAAAGCAUCCGUAGCCGGCUCUGUAAGUUUUCGGUUAAAUCCAUGUGCUCAACGCAUGGGCUGUCGAAAAUACUGCAUAGCUAGGGAGUGGGAGAGGCAGACGGUACUCGGUAGGAAGGGGUAAAAUCCUUUGAUCUAUCGAUGACCACCUGUGGCGAAGGCGGUCUACCAGAACACGUUCGACGGUGAGGGAUGAAAGCUGGGGGAGCAAACCGGAUUAGAUACCCGGGUAGUCCCAGCUGUAAACGAUGCAGACUCGAUGAUGCAUUGGCAUAUAGCCAGUGCAGUGUCGCAGGGAAGCCGUUAAGUCUGCCGCCUGGGAAGUACGUACGCAAGUAUGAAACUUAAAGGAAUUGGCGGGGGAGCAG